rnacentral:rRNA from 1 species
CAGUCGCCGCGGUAAUACGAAGGGGGCUAGCGUUGUUCGGAUUUACUGGGCGUAAAGCGCACGUAGGCGGAUCCUUAAGUCAGAGGUGAAAUCCCAAGGCUCAACCUUGGAACUGCCUUUGAUACUGGGGAUCUCGAGUUCGGGAGAGGUGAGUGGAACUGCGAGUGUAGAGGUGAAAUUCGUAGAUAUUGGGAAGAACACCGGUGGCGAAGGCGACUACCCGGUCUGGCAUUGACGCUCAUGUGCGAAAGCGUGGGGAGCAAACAGGAUUAGAGACCCCCGUAGUCCCUGUCUCUUAUAC